UACGGGGGGGGGCAAGCGUUGUUCGGAAUUACUGGGCGUAAAGGGCUCGUAGGCGGCCAACUAAGUCGGAUGUGAAAUCCCCCAGGCUCAACCUGGGAACUGCAUCCGAUACUGGAUGGCUUGAAUUCGGGAGAGGGAUGCAGAAUUCCAGGUGUAGCGGUGAAAUGCGUAGAUAUCUGGAGGAAUACCGGUGGCGAAGGCGGCAUCCUGGACCGACAUUUGACGCUGAGGAGCGAAAGCCAGGGGGAGCAAAACGGGG
rnacentral:rRNA from 1 species